AGUGAACGCUGGCGGUAGGCCUAACACAUGCAAGUCGAACGGCAGCACAGUAAGUGCUUGCUCUUACGGGUGGCGAGUGGCGGACGGGUGAGGAAUACAUCGUAACCUACUUUUUCGUGGGGGAUAACGUAGGGAAACUUACGCUCAUACCGCAUACGACCUACGGGUGAAAGCAGGGGAUCUUUGGACCUUGCGCGAUUGAAUGAGCCGCUGUCGGAUUAGCUAGUUGGCGGGGUAAAGGCCCACCAAGGCGACGAUCCGUAGCUGGUCUGAGAGGAUGAUCAGCAACACUGGAACUGAGACACGGUCAAGACUCCUACGGGAGGCAGCAGUGGGGAAUAUUGGACAAUGGGGGCAAGCCUGAUCCAGACAUACCGCGUGGGUGAAGAAGUCCUUCGGGUUGUAAAGCCCGUUUGUUGGGAAAGAAAAGCAGCAGGUUAGUACGCCGCUGCUCUGACGGUACCCAAAGAAUAAGCACCGGCUAACUACGUG
rnacentral:rRNA from 1 species